CAAGCCAGGCUUGGUGCUCUGAACAAGGGGCCGAGGCCUGGAGACGUCUGGAUUUGGCACAAACCGCAACUCAGCACACGUGGAGGAGGUGGGCUUCUCGACUGCCCUGUGGCCAGUGGGUGUCGUCUUCAACUCGGAGGAAUGCAGGCCAGACAAGGCCUCAGCGCAGCCUCGCAGCUCCGUCCGGCCUGUCUUCUCCUCUGAGAGUCAAUGCUGAAGGCUCAGCAGAGCUUGGCUCUCGGGCCACGUCAGGCUUCCGACAUUCUAUAAAUGCUCUCAGAAGAAAAAGUCCAAGAGAGGACUCCCUGUCCUCAGGGCCUCGCCCCAUGGGAGAAGACGUGUGGUGCGGAGGAGGGACGUUGAGGAGGCAGGGCAGGUGUGCGGCCUGACCGCCCGGGCUCUCCUCCCGGCCCCGCCGGGGCCUCUCCUGGGCCUCGCCGACCCUGGACUUCUGGGGCUUUCUGUGCCCGCCUCUGCGGUGACAGCCUCCCCGCUGCCCCCAGGCUGCCCUCCCUGCCAGGGCCCUGCUCCACCGCGGAGCACCCGCGUUUUCCACCCGCCUCCCGCUUUCCUGACGGCCUUUCUGAUGAGGGCCUGGUGACUCCUUCCCUGAUAUUAAAGACACUUUUUUAAAAAGUA